GUCAAUGGCCAUGCCACCCUGAACAAGCCCGAUCUCGUCUGAUCUCGGAAGCUAAGCAGGGUCGGGCCUGGUUAGUACUUGGAUGGGAGACCACUUAGGAAGACCAGGUGCUGUAGGUG
rnacentral:rRNA from 1 species